CUUCGAUUUUUCAUAGUCUAAACAAAGAAAAACCUCUACAUUUUCACUUCCACUACUGCACUCGAACCCUAAGUUCUUCUUCUUCUUCUUCUUCAAGUCAAGUUAAAUUAAACCUUGUUGAUGGCUUUAGCUCGAGGUGCAAAAGGCUCUAUCGGAUUUCUAAUUAACCGUUUGCGUCCUGCUCCUACGCAGUCUGGGCAUAAUUAUUCUUCUUGGGCAGGUAGGAGCCGUCAACUUUCUGAAGUUAGAGAACCCUCAUUUAAUUAUUUGAACCAUGGAAAUGAUCAAUGUGGUUUUGGGAGAAAAAUAUUGCUGCGAAGAUUUAGUGUUGAAGCAUCGGAACAAUUGAAACUUAUUAAGCAGUUGAGGGAAAGAACAAGUGCUCCAAUAAAGGAUGUCAAGACUUCUCUCGUCGCUUGCGAUUGGGAUAUUGAGGCUGCUCAGAAGGACCUUAGGAAACGAGGAGUUAUUCAAGCAUCAAAGAAGUCGUCUCGAACUGCUGCUGAGGGUUUGCUUGCGCUAGCACAGAAUGGGGAUAAAGCUGCUAUUAUUGAACUGAAUUGCGAGACGGAUUUUGUUGCAAGGAAUGAAAUAUUUCAAUACUUGGCCUUAUCCUUAGCAAGAAUAGCAUUGUCUGUUGAGAAGUAUGCUGACCAAGCUUCUAGUGGCGUUCCUUUUGACCCUGAAUACUUGGAGCAAUUAAGGAUUAAUCUUGAUCAUCCAAAACUAAGUGGAGAGACAACAGUAAGAAGUGCAAUUACCGAAGUGGCUGCAAUAAUGGGGGAGAAUAUAAAACUCAGAAGGGGUUUUGCAGUUACUAAAUCUACACAUGGCGUUGUCUCUACCUAUAUGCACUCAAGUCCUCAACCAGGUUUAGGCCGUAUAUCUGGAAUUCUAACUCUGGAAGCUGAGAAUGAUAGUGUCUCACUGGAUGCUCUUGAACGAGUGGGUUCACAAUUGGCAAUGCACAUAGUGGCUGCAAAACCAGUGUUCCUAUCAAAGGAGCUUGUUCCUUCUGAAGCCUUGAAGGCUGAACUUGAAAUCAUUAAAUCUCAGGCGGAAACUUCAGGGAGAACGAAGAUGGGCAAAGAAAAAAUGGUGGAAGGUCGUUUGCGGAAAUAUAUGGAAGAAGUAGCUUUUAUGGAGCAAAAAUUUGUUGUUGAUGAUAGUAAGACAAUCAAGAAUGUGAUGGAUGGUCUGUCAAAGGAAGUGGGAUCACAGGUGAAGAUAGGUAAAUUUUUCAGAAUGGAGGUUGGAGAAGGAAUUCAGAGGUUAGAAACAUCGGGGGAGUCUUAAGUCAUGAAUCAGGCGGCUUUGAUGGAGGUGAACUGUAUUGACCUGCAGGAAAAGAGAAUAGACUUGUUACAAACAGAACACACCCUUUAGGCUAUGGUAAUACUUGUGGAAAGACCAAAUAAUCCAUAAGAGGUGGGUUUGCAUUUCAGUAAGGUUGUGUAUUGUUACACGGAAGGUAUCAGAGUUGUGGUUCAGGCAGCUAAAUUUAAGGAACCAUAUGAUGAGAAGCUAAUUAAACAGCUGAAAGUAAAUUUUGGAGAUUCUUUUCACGUAGUUGCCCAAGGGUUUUCUUAGAAAUAAAUAAUGUAAGGAGAAGAUGGAUGUUUAGUUAAAUGGAGAGAAGUCAAUCAAAGUUGAGUGCACCUGUUGAGGCAGCUUACAUUUACAAGUUUAUAUAAUGUCCGACAUGUAUUGUCUUCAUUUAACGUUCUUCAAAGAAAACUGAAGUUUUGCAAGUGCACCAUUUGAAAUUUGAUUUUGUAUCUUUAAUCUCUGGUUAUCGUUUUGUUA